rnacentral:rRNA from 1 species
UAACGCGAAGAACCUUACCUGGGCUUGACAUGUUGGUGACCGCCGUGGAAACACGGUUUUCCUUCGGGACACCAUCACAGGUGGUGCAUGGCUGUCGUCAGCUCGUGUCGUGAGAUGUUGGGUUAAGUCCCGCAACGAGCGCAACCCCCGUUCCAUGUUGCCAGCAUUAAGUUGGGGACUCAUGGGAGACUGCCGGUGACAAACCGGAGGAAGGUGGGGAUGACGUCAAGUCAUCAUGCCCCUUAUGUCCAGGGCUACACACGUGCUACAUUGGCGCAUACAAAGGGCAGCAAUACCGCGAGGUGGAGCAAAUCCCAUAAAGUGCGCCUCGGUUCGGAUUGGAGGCUGAAACUCGCCUCCAUGAAGGUGGAGUUGCUAGUAAUCGCGAAUCAGCAACGUCGCGGUGAAUACGUUCCCGGGUCUUGUACACACCGA